AUUGAACGCUGGCGGCAUGCUUUACACAUGCAAGUCGAACGGUAACAGGCCUUCGGGUGCUGACGAGUGGCGAACGGGUGAGUAAUGCAUCGGAACGUGCCCAGAGGUGGGGGAUAACGCAGCGAAAGCUGUGCUAAUACCGCAUGUGAUCUGAGGAUGAAAGCGGGGGACCAGGCAGCAAUGUUUGGCCUCGCGCCUUUGGAGCGGCCGAUGUCAGAUUAGGUAGUUGGUGGGGUAAAGGCCUACCAAGCCGACGAUCUGUAGCUGGUCUGAGAGGCCGACCAGCCACACUGGGACUGAGACACGGCCCAGACUCCUACGGGAGGCAGCAGUGGGGAAUUUUGGACAAUGGGCGCAAGCCUGAUCCAGCAAUGCCGCGUGCGGGAAGAAGGCCUUCGGGUUGUAAACCGCUUUUGUACGGAACGAAAAGGCUCUGGCUAAUACCUGGGGCUGAUGACGGUACCAGAAGAAUAAGCACCGGCUAACUACGUG
rnacentral:rRNA from 1 species